rnacentral:rRNA from 1 species
CACGUAGGGUGCGAGCGUUGUCCGGAAUUAUUGGGCGUAAAGAGCUCGUAGGCGGUGUGUCGCGUCGGCCGUGAAAACCUGCAGCUUAACUGUGGGCUUGCGGUCGAUACGGGCAUCACUGGAGUUCGGCAGGGGAGACUGGAAUUCCUGGUGUAGCGGUGAAAUGCGCAGAUAUCAGGAGGAACACCAACAGCGAAGGCAGAUCUCUGGGACGUAACUGACGCUGAGACGCGAAAGCGUGGGGAGCAAA